UGGACUGCCGACCCCCUCCUCCCUAUCUCUCCAAUGGCUCUCCCCAACGUGUGCUCGACGCUGCCCGAGCCAGCCAGUCCUCUCCCUCGCACGCACGGGCUUCCCUCUCUUCUCUCUCUCCCUCUCGAAUCCUAGACCGACCCCAGGAAUGCCCGAGCCACUUCCCCUCGAGCCCCCGUACCCUCUGGCCCCGGCCACGACCUUAGACGGCGCAUCGGCAAAUGGUGGACAAUGGGGCAGCCUAUAUAAAGCAACCCUGGCUCCCCCGUGUGUUCCACUCAUCUCCCCCACCUCCCAAUCGCACGCCCGCAUGGCUUCCUCCUUGAUUUCGAGCUCCGACGCUCGAGAUCGAGCCUAAGCUCUCCACCUCUGGUCGUCGGCGUUCUCGCGAUGAGGGACCUCGUCAGCGUUCUCGCGAUGAGGGACCUCCCCUGGCUCCGUUUUCUUCCCCUAUGUCCGUCUCUCACUCUCAUGACUCGUUUCCACCUCUCCCCCGCCCCUAUUGUUGCAGGAGUCGGCCCCGACGACCGCCUCCUGAAGCUCCCUCCGCUGCACUCGUCAUCGUCGAUGAAUUACUGAGCCCUGGCGACCUCCUCCACCUCCGUGUGACCAGCGACAGCCCCCGAAGUCCAUCCGCGCCUUCGCCGCGACAAACCAUCAUUGCCUCCGAUACCGAAGGGGGGGAUGCUGGAGUCUACUUCACCGAGCUAGACCCCGACUUCAUCGACCCAGGCAAGCUUGUUUAAUCAAUUGAUGUGAUGUUUGAUAAUAGGAUUGUUUGAUAUUGUUGCAUUAAAGAACACUUGCAUGUUAUAUGAUAUGAUUUCAUGCAUGACUAAGAUGACCAUCAAUGUGAUAAUGAGAGGCUGUGGACAUCCUAGUCAUGUGGGAUGCGAUAGGUUGUGGUCUGAUCAUGCCAGAUGCAUGACACAAUGUGGGUGAAUUUAAUAACUCCAGUGUCGGCAUGGAUCGAUCCUUGUUAGUGCAUCACCUUACUUUCCAUACUACCAUAGGUCUUUCCGUAAGGGAAUACGGUGUCAUAGGUCAUAAACCUAUUAUCAGGUACACACCAACUAGAGGGGCCGGGAUGAAGUUUCCAUGGCCGUGGAAUAAUGCCAGUCAUCUGGUCAGGGGGCAUGUGUGUUUUUGGUCUAGGACCAAGAGGGGGUACCCCCUUGUAGUGCACUAUAGAAAUUUGAUCCCAAGCUAAUCGAGGAUUUUGGCCUCCCCAUCUUAUAGUUUUCCCCUGGAAGCGUGAUCCGUGUGAUUCCUGAUCUCAAUGGGUAAAAAUGGGUGUGUGAUGGUUUUGAGUAUUUACCUCUAAAAUACCAUUCGCGGGAUUAGUCCUAAUGACUAUUGAAACCCGUUAGCUAUGGGUAAAGUGUACACCCUCUGUAGAGUCAAAACUAUUCGAGUAGGUGUGUCCACGAUCAAGGAUGACUGGUUGACAGGUCAAGUGUUGGUCCUAGUGUCGGUCUCUAGAGAACAAGUUUGUUUAUGAAAGUUGUUAAUAUUGACAUCUAGUUGUGACGUUGGAACUAACAUAAUGAAACUUGGUUGUAUUGAAUAUCCCGAACGAUGGUUGUACCACCCAGAUAUUCAUUUACUUUUAUGCCCUUUCUAUGGUGUCGCUAAGACGCCCGACUUAGGUGAGCAUUUACUUUCUUUUUGUGGUGUCGCUAAGACGCCCGAUUGAGGUGAGCAUUUACUUCAUUAUGCCCUUUUCGUGGUGUCGCAUAGAUGCCCGACUAUGGCUUGUUAAUUUAUUACUAUACCAUGUAUGCAGGGUCGCUUAGACGUUCGAUGGUGGUUGUUUAUUUUUACCAGUUAACCUUUCGAGGCGUCACUUCACACACCCGAUCAGUGCAAUUUUAUCUUCUUGGGUACUUCGGGAGGACUAUCGUCCGACUUAUCUACUCUAACUUAACUUGUUGUUAAAAUUUCUACCGAUGAUAAUUGUGAUAAUUAACCCUACAUGUGGAAUUGUUGCAUUCAUCUUAUCUUUUGUGCAAACUGUCUUGCGAGUACUUUCAAAGUGCUCACUCGCUUGUUGAUGUGGCCAUAUAUGGAUGAAGCAGACCCCAUGGAUGAAGAGUACGAUAGCGAGUCCGAUGCCUAGUGGAGUCCGAGUCAGUCUUGUGAUCUUGGAGUCUGUCGUUGUAUCAUUUCACCGCUUUCACCGCCAUAAAUAAAUUGUCAAGCCUCACUCUGGCGCUUGGCAUGUAGUAGUACUUAAGCUAUGUCACUUCACUCCGAUGUGAUAUGCCUACCUAUUUAUGCGAGCAGUAGAGUUACCCCAUGACCACUGUGAUAUAUCUGCCCUUAUGCUAAAUAUAGGUGUGUUGUAAUAAUCUAUUGAGCGCCUCCGCUCUACCCUGUUUAAUAUCAAGUACUACUGGUUUUCUAUAUCAAUUUGGUCUAUUAGUGUGAAUGAUUUUCUACACUGGUGACAUUCAUGGC